GUUAAAAUAAUUUAAAUAAAAUAUUGAUUUUGUAAAUCAAAUUUGGUUUUCCCUUUUAACA
rnacentral:tRNA from 1 species